CCUACGGGAGGCAACAGUGAGGAAUAUUGGUCAAUGGACGAGAGUCUGAACCAGCCAAGUAGCGUGAAGGAUGACUGCCCUAUGGGUUGUAAACUUCUUUUAUAUGGGAAUAAAAUGUUCCACGUGUGGGAUUUUGUAUGUACCAUAUGAAUAAGGAUCGGCUAACUCCGUGCCAGCAGCCGCGGUAAUACGGAGGAUCCGAGCGUUAUCCGGAUUUAUUGGGUUUAAAGGGAGCGUAGGUGGAUUGUUAAGUCAGUUGUGAAAGUUUGCGGCUCAACCGUAAAAUUGCAGUUGAAACUGGCAGUCUUGAGUACAGUAGAGGUGGGCGGAAUUCGUGGUGUAGCGGUGAAAUGCUUAGAUAUCACGAAGAACUCCGAUUGCGAAGGCAGUUCACUGGACUGCAACUGACACUGAGGCUCGAAAGUGUGGGUAUCAAACAGGAUUAGAUACCCGAGUAGU
rnacentral:rRNA from 1 species